GCCGAGGCAUUAUUAACAGCGUUAAAGGGGAUAUCUCAAUUAUCCCUGUGCGCAGUGAUUUUGCAGAAUAAGGAGUGCUUAGGGGCUAGAGUAUCAUACGGCGACUGGUGAAAUGGGAUGACCCGUGUGGGAGUAACAGAGGCGAAAGCGCUGGCCAGGGGCGAAUCCGAUGGUAAAGGACGUAGGCUAGAGGAUCGAAGACGAUUAGAGACCGUUGUAGUUCUAGCAGUAAACGAUGCCGAUGUCGUGGUGCCGAAWAAUGGCGACGCGAAAGAGAAAUCGAGUAGGGCCCUGGGGAGAGUACACGCGCAAGCGAGAAAUUUAAAGGAAAUUGACGGAAGAACACCACAAGGAGUGGAGUGUGCGGCUUAAUUUGACUCAACGCGGGACAACUUACCGGGCCCGACGACCGUAAGAGUGUGACACACGAUAGGUCGAAGAGUGGUGCAUGGCCGUUAACGACGAGUGGAGUGAUCUUUGGGUUAAGUCCGUAAAUUAGUGAGACCUCAGCCGUAAGGGACAGGUGCGCAAAGCACAGGAAGGAUGGGUCAAGGACAGGUCAGUGAUGCCCUUAGAUGGUCCGGGCUGCACGCGCACUACAGUGGUCGCCGAAAUUAGCUGAUAAUUUUAAAGGCGAUCGAGAGGGAAUGAGCUUUGUAAGAGGCUCAGGAACGAGGAAUUGCUAGUAAUC
rnacentral:rRNA from 1 species